AGGGGUGUAGCUCAGUUGGUAGAGCAGCGGUCUCCAAAACCGCAGGUCGCGGGUUCGAGUCCUGCCGCCCCUGCCA
rnacentral:tRNA from 1 species